rnacentral:rRNA from 1 species
GACGAACGCUGGCGGCGUGCUUAACACAUGCAAGUCGAACGGUAAGGCCCUUCGGGGUACACGAGUGGCGAACGGGUGAGUAACACGUGGGUGAUCUACCCUGCACUUCGGGAUAAGCCUGGGAAACUGGGUCUAAUACCGGAUAGGACCACUGCCUGCAUGGGUGGUGGUGGAAAGCGUUUGCGGUGUGGGAUGGGCCCGCGGCCUAUCAGCUUGUUGGUGGGGUGAUGGCCUACCAAGGCGACGACGGGUAGCCGGCCUGAGAGGGUGACCGGCCACACUGGGACUGAGAUACGGCCCAGACUCCUACGGGAGGCAGCAGUGGGGAAUAUUGCACAAUGGGCGCAAGCCUGAUGCAGCGACGCCGCGUGAGGGAUGACGGCCUUCGGGUUGUAAACCUCUUUCAGCACCGACGAAGCGCAAGUGACGGUAGGUGCAGAAGAAGGACCGGCCAACUACGUGCCAGCAGCCGCCGUAA